UAACAUGCAGUCGAACGGCAGCACGGAGCUUGCUCUGGUGGCGAGUGGCGAACGGGUGAGUAAUAUAUCGGAACGUACCCUAGAGUGGGGGAUAACGUAGCGAAAGUUACGCUAAUACCGCAUACGAUCUAAGGAUGAAAGUGGGGGAUCGCAAGACCUCAUGCUCGUGGAGCGGCCGAUAUCUGAUUAGCUAGUUGGUAGGGUAAAAGCCUACCAAGGCAUCGAUCAGUAGCUGGUCUGAGAGGACGACCAGCCACACUGGAACUGAGACACGGUCCAGACUCCUACGGGAGGCAGCAGUGGGGAAUUUUGGACAAUGGGCGAAAGCCUGAUCCAGCAAUGCCGCGUGAGUGAAGAAGGCCUUCGGGUUGUAAAGCUCUUUUGUCAGGGAAGAAACGGUGAGAGCUAAUAUCUCUUGCUAAUGACGGUACCUGAAGAAUAAGCACCGGCUAACUACGUGCCAGCAGCCGCGGUAAUACGUAGGGUGCAAGCGUUAAUCGGAAUUACUGGGCGUAAAGCGUGCGCAGGCGGUUUUGUAAGUCUGAUGUGAAAUCCCCGGGCUCAACCUGGGAAUUGCAUUGGAGACUGCAAGGCUAGAAUCUGGCAGAGGGGGGUAGAAUUCCACGUGUAGCAGUGAAAUGCGUAGAUAUGUGGAGGAACACCGAUGGCGAAGGCAGCCCCCUGGGUCAAGAUUGACGCUCAUGCACGAAAGCGUGGGGAGCAAACAGGAUUAGAUACCCUGGUAGUCCACGCCCUAAACGAUGUCUACUAGUUGUCGGGUCUUAAUUGACUUGGUAACG
rnacentral:rRNA from 1 species